GUUGAACGCUGGCGGCGUGCUUAACACAUGCAAGUCGAUCGGUAACAGGUGUAGCAAUACAUGCUGACGAGAGGCGGACGGGUGAGUAAUGCUUGGGAAUCUGCCUAUUAGGUGGGGGACGAACCCGGGAAACGUCGGGCUAAUACCGCAUACGCUCUACGGAGGAAAGCCGGGCCGCAAGGCCUGGCGCUAAUAGAUGAGCCCAACGUCGGAUUAGCUAGUUGGUAGGGGUAACGGCCUACCAACGGCGACAAUCCGUAGCUGGUCUGAGAGGACGACCAGCCACACCGGAACUGAGA
rnacentral:rRNA from 1 species